ensembl:snoRNA
GCCGAGACUAGAGUCACAUCCUGACACAACUCUCGUCCUGGUGUGCUGGAGCACUCGGAGAGAAUCUACUGGUCUUGAUUCACUGGCGGGGGCAGUCGGUGCCCCCAUUAGUGCCCAGAUCAGAAACAUAC